UCGGUAUUCUUGAUAUUUUUAUAUCGAAAUAUUUUUACGGAUGUCAUCAUUUGCAACUCUAUUUUAUUUUCUGCUUUCUUUUUUGUAAUUACUCCAACGUGUUUAUACAUGUCACUUGGACGGUGUUUUCUUGACUCGCUUAUGUUAUUUCGUUACCUUCACAACUUUAAAAAAAAUGUGAAGAAAAAAAUGGUAGAAUACAUUCCUUUUCUUGGUUUUGUUCAUUUAUUAUAUUUUAUGCAUUCUGGUCAUAAAGUCAUUGGUAUGAAAUUACAUUUUAUGUCAAUGGAUAGGUAGAACACGUUUCUUAUCUAGAAGCAUGUGGCAGAAGAAAUGCAAGUUCUGAGAGUGAUAUGAACUCAACAACAUGUAUUGAAGUCUCCUCAAAAGGAACGAGACCUCAAGGCCAUGUAUCUUUGGAGGUUGAAGUAAAAGGAUGAAAUGUUAUCUGUGCUCCUAAACAAAGAUUUGCUCUCAAUGGGAAAAUCAGAAGAGAGUGUUUUACCGAAGUUGACACCAGAAGUCCUGAGAGAGCUUCCAGUCCUCAAAUGGAUGAGCAAAGUGGAGAGAGCGAUCAAACGCAGAAGGAAGAGAAGUUAGGCUCUGGUGCAUCGAUGGUUCAUAAUGGUGAACCCCAUCUGAUCAUUGAGCCUGCAAAAAAUAUCCUGAACCAUGUUCGUAUUCUGCCGUUUGAAGCCACGUCGUCAUCGUUUGAACCAUGUUCGUAUUAUUUGUCCUAAAACUCUGCCUUUUCAAAAACCAUCCCAAAACUCUUUGAGCCUCAAAACUUUGUCCUAUUUUUGGUAAUUUCAACAAAAGGCAAGUGGAGAACAUAGAGACGAAGAAAUGGAGAAGGUAGAAGAGAAGACGGACUGAGUUAUUUCAAUUUUAACCUAACCAGUUAACCUCCAACCCAAUCGGUUCGAUUCGACAAUAUUAUUGUUGUAACACUCAACCCAAUCCAAACCGAACCGAGUCGAUUCGGGUUUUUUCAACCCUAGGUUUUAUUUGUUUAAGUGAAAAUAAAAGUGGGAAAACGUGGGUUUUAAUUAGGGAGGGGAAAUUUGGAUUUUUGUAGUAACCGUGGUAAAAAAAUAAAAAUAAUUUUUAGAAAGUGGGAUUUUUAGCCGCAUAAAUUAUGUCGAAAAACAAUACAUAAAUUAGAAUAAAAUUGCUCCACAUAACUUUGUUUCGUAUA